rnacentral:rRNA from 1 species
CGGCGGACGGGUGAGUAACGCGUGGGUAACCUGCCUCAUACAGGGGGAUAACAGUUGGAAACGGCUGCUAAUACCGCAUAAGCGCACAGUACCGCAUGGUACGGUGUGAAAAACUCCGGUGGUAUGAGAUGGACCCGCGUCUGAUUAGGUAGUUGGUGGAGUAACGGCCUACCAAGCCGACGAUCAGUAGCCGACCUGAGAGGGUGACCGGCCACAUUGGGACUGAGACACGGCCCAA